UAGGGAAUAUUGGACAAUGGAGGCAACUCUGAUCCAGCCAUGCCGCGUGGAGGAUGACUGCCCUCUGGGUUGUAAACUCCUUUUGUACAGGAAGAAACCUCCUCAUUUAUGAGUGAGCUGACGGUACUGUAAGAAUAAGCACCGGCUAACUCCGUGCCAGCAGCCGCGGUAAUACGGAGGGUGCAAGCGUUAUCCGGAUUCACUGGGUUUAAAGGGUGCGUAGGCGGUUUGAUAAGUCAGUGGUGAAAUC
rnacentral:rRNA from 1 species